AAUGAGAGUGGAAGUGAUGUGUGUGGAAGCUUUAAGAGCCUGUACUUGAUGUGCAGUGCUUUCUCUUUUCACUUUGCCACCGUAACCACUGCCUUCCAGAUAGUGACUGCUCCGUCAGCUUGAGUCUUGGGGUGAGGAGGAUGCAGACCAGAGGACCUCGCCAGCCUGCAAUGGACGUACAGAGUUGGAGGUCCCUCUAAUGGCUCUCUCGAUGUUGGUUGUUCCAGAAUCCGCUUUAUGUUGUUGUUCUGUCUUCAAUGAUGGAGACUUUGUAGCCAUGCCUGAAGCCUCCUGCAUGGACCAUACACUGGAUGUCCCUGGGGAGCCACCAUAUUUCCUAAUGAAAUGGACAGACAUGGCCAGAACCUCCUCCUCCACGUGGGUAUGAUGCCUGGAGUUGCAGUAGCCAUAUUAAAACCAUGGGGCCUCAAGCCGAGGAGGAGAAAUCCAGUAAAUGAAGGAAGACAAGAUGGAAAGCUAGAGUGAGCCUAUGUUCUCAACAGCAUUGUGAGCAAUGUAAACAAUGUCAGUAAUCACCCAUCUUCUUGCUAUGUGACAAAAAAAUAAAACCCUAUUUAUUUAAGCCACUUGUACUUAUAUUUUCUGGUACUUGCAGCCAGAAGCAGCCUAUCUGGUAGCUUCUGCCUCAUGCCUGCAGUGUAGCCCCACUGGAUAAUUUAUCAUUACCCCAAACAUCACACGCUUUCCUACCAUCCUAUCUUUUCUCCACUUAGCUUUGCAUAUGGCAAGUGUUAAUAAACACUAUAAAAUGAAUGAUGUGAACUGGUUGAUGAAAUUUUAAGUAAAAUAAAUGGUCCACGACUCGAUCAAUCCAUCAAAAAUUAUUCACUGGCUCACUAUGAUAUGCAUGGCAUGAUGCUACAGUUAAUUUAAAUUUUGAGCUUUCAUUUAAUCAGAAUCAUUCUAUCCUUUCCAAAUGACAACUUCUUGUACUUUGUUUUUAUAAAGAAACAAAAGGCCUCAAUACCAGUUUGAUACACAGGAUGUUUUUUUAGAGGACAGGAACCAGCUCUCCUGCUGUGUUUUAUAGAGAGUCUAGCUCACUGCUGGCACUCAGUGAAUAUUAAAUUAUAAUGAUACUGCUAUGGAUAUCAUUCAGGUUCUCCGACACUGUUACAACUUUUAGUCUGUUUUUGAAGUAUGUGAGAUCCUAUAAUAAAAAUGUUUUAUGGAAGUGAAUGCACAUUACAUACAGUUUGUCAGUCAGCUUAGCCAGGUCACAUUGGGAAUGUGUUGGGCUCAAAUAAAGAUAUAUUUUAAAGUCUAUGUUGGUGUGAUUCAACUUCAGAAGUAUAAAGUUUCUAAUUUAUUAUAAUAAAUUACUCCUCAAAAACA